CUUUUCUUGUAUAUGUAUAUGAAAUAUAGCCUGCCCAAUGAGAAUUUGAAUGGCCGCGGUAUUUUGACCGUGCAAAGGUAGCAUAAUCAUUAGUCUUUUAAUUGAAGGCUGGAAUGAAUGGCUGGACGAGAUAAAUACUGUCUUGGAAUUAAUUAAUUAGAAUUUAACUUUUGAGUUAAAAUGCUUAAAUUUGCUUUUGGGACGAGAAGACCCUAUAGAGUUUAUAUAAAUUUUUGUUUCUAGUUGAGUUUGUUAAUAAUUUGGGUAUAAAAAUUUAUUUGGUUGGGGUGACAAUAAGAUAUUUAAAACUCUUUUAUUUUGUUUAGUUAUAGAUUUAUAUAUUAUUGAUCCAUUAUUAAUGAUUAGAAGACUAAAUUACCUUAGGGAUAACAGCGUAAUCCUUUUUGAGAGUUCAUAUCGACAAAGGGGAUUGCGA
rnacentral:rRNA from 1 species